rnacentral:rRNA from 1 species
UUGACCUCGGAUCAGGUAGGAAUACCCGCUGAACUUAAGCAUAUCAAUAGGCAGAGAGGAA